GACGAACGCUGGCGGCGUGCUUAACACAUGCAAGUCGAACGGAAUCCAUGGUGUAGCAAUACACCGGAAGAUUUAGUGGCGAACGGGUGAGGAUCACGUGAGAAACGUGCCCCANGACUCUGGGAUAACAAUUGGAAACGAUUGCUAAUACCGGAUGACGUCGGAGAAUCGCAUGAUUCACUGACGAAAGAUAUUUCGGUUUGGGAGCGUCUCGCGGCCUAUCAGCUUGUUGGUGGGGUAAUGGCCUACCAAGGCAACGACGGGUAGCUGGUCUGAGAGGAUGAUCAGCCACACUGGGACUGAGACACGGCCCAGACUCCUACGGGAGGCAGCAGUGGGGAAUCUUGCGCAAUGGGCGAAAGCCUGACGCAGCAACGCCGCGUGCGGGAUGAAGGCCUUCGGGCUGUAAACCGCUUUCAGCAGGAACGAAAAUGACGGUACCU
rnacentral:rRNA from 1 species